GAUGAACGCUGGCGGCGUGCUUAACACAUGCAAGUCGAACGAUGAAGGGAGCUUGCUCCUGGAUUAGUGGCGAACGGGUGAGUAACACGUGAGUAACCUGCCCUUGACUCUGGGAUAAGCCUGGGAAACUGGGUCUAAUACCGGAUAUGACUGACCGUCGCAUGGUGGUUGGUGGAAAGCUUUUGUGGUUUUGGAUGGACUCGCGGCCUAUCAGCUUGUUGGUGGGGUAAUGGCCUACCAAGGCGACGACGGGUAGCCGGCCUGAGAGGGUGGCCGGCCACACUGGGACUGAGACACGGCCCAGACUCCUACGGGAGGCAGCAGUGGGGAAUAUUGCACAAUGGGCGCAAGCCUGAUGCAGCGACGCCGCGUGAGGGAUGACGGCCUUCGGGUUGUAAACCUCUUUUCUCAGGGACGAGGAUGACGGUACCUGAGGAAUAAGCCACGGCUAACUACGUGCCAGCAGCCGCCGUAACAC
rnacentral:rRNA from 1 species